GUGAGGAAUUUUCCGCAAUGGGCGAAAGCCUGACGGAGCAAUGCCGCGUGAAGGAUGAAGGCCUAUGGGUUGUAAACUUCUUUUCUCAGAAAAGAAUUAUGACGGUAUCUGAGGAAUAAGCAUCGGCUAACUCUGUGCCAGCAGCCGCGGUACGACAGAGGAUGCAAGCGUUAUCCGGAAUGAUUGGGCGUAAAGCGUCUGUAGGUUGUUUACAAAGUAUUCUGUCAAAGAUUAGGGCUUAACCCUAGAUAGGCAGAAUAAACUUUUAAGCUAGAGUUUGGUAGAGGCAGAUGGAAUUCCCGGUGGAGCGGUGAAAUGCGUAGAUAUCGGGAGGAACACCAAAGGCGAAGGCACUCUGCUGGGCCAAUACUAACACUGAGAGACGAAAGCGAGGGGAGCAAAUGGGAUUAGAUACCCGAGUAGUCC
rnacentral:rRNA from 1 species